rnacentral:rRNA from 1 species
GACGAACGCUGGCGGCGUGCUUAACACAUGCAAGUCGAACGGAAAGGCCCUGCUUUUGUGGGGUGCUCGAGUGGCGAACGGGUGAGUAACACGUGAGUAACCUGCCCUUGACUUUGGGAUAACUUCAGGAAACUGGGGCUAAUACCGGAUAGGAGCUCCUGCUGCAUGGUGGGGGUUGGAAAGUUUCGGCGGUUGGGGAUGGACUCGCGGCUUAUCAGCUUGUUGGUGGGGUAGUGGCUUACCAAGGCUUUGACGGGUAGCCGGCCUGAGAGGGUGACCGGCCACAUUGGGACUGAGAUACGGCCCAGACUCCUACGGGAGGCAGCAGGGGGGAAUAUUGCAAAAUGGGCGGAAGCCUGAUGCAGCAACGCCGCGGGCGGGAUGACGGCCUUCGGGUUGUAAACCGCUUUCGCCUGUGACGAAGCGUGAGUGACGGUAAUGGGUAAAGAAGCACCGGCUAACUACGUG